rnacentral:tRNA from 1 species
CGCCUCUUGGCUUAGUGGCAUAGCGUCGCUCUAGUAAAGCGAAGGUCGCGAGUUCAAUUCUCGCAGAGGCCA